AUUGAACGCUGGCGGCAUGCUUUACACAUGCAAGUCGAACGGCAGCGCGGGCUUCGGCCUGGCGGCGAGUGGCGAACGGGUGAGUAAUACAUCGGAACGUGCCCGGUAGUGGGGGAUAGCUCGGCGAAAGCCGGAUUAAUACCGCAUACGACCUGAGGGUGAAAGCGGGGGAUCUUCGGACCUCGCGCUAUUGGAGCGGCCGAUGGCAGAUUAGCUAGUUGGUGGGGUAAAGGCCUACCAAGGCGACGAUCUGUAGCUGGUCUGAGAGGACGACCAGCCACACUGGGACUGAGACACGGCCCAGACUCCUACGGGAGGCAGCAGUGGGGAAUUUUGGACAAUGGGCGAAAGCCUGAUCCAGCAAUGCCGCGUGUGUGAUGAAGGCCUUCGGGUUGUAAAGCACUUUUGGCGGGAACGAAAAGGACUGUGCCAAUACCACGGUUCGAUGACGGUACCCGCAGAAUAAGCACCGGCUAACUACGCG
rnacentral:rRNA from 1 species